GAGCAAAAACUCCUUAUUUUCUGCAAAACGUGGGAAAGUUGCAGUCGUGGAAGAUUGCUGCACAGAUAGUGGGAGAAGUUAAGGGAAAGUGGAGGCCUCUACUCCCCCACUAAAAACUCCAAAGCCUUCCAACCAUGCCUAUAAAUAAGUACUAGUUGCAGUGCAAGAGGGCAAAAAUGGGAACAAGAGAGGAGACGCUGCAGAAAUUGAGAAGCACAGAAAAGACAACAGAGAGGCAAAGCAAGAAAGCAAAGGCACAACAAAGGAAAAGAAAGAAGAAGAAGAAAUCAAGAGCUACAUGCAAGAACAAAGAGCAGGAAAAGCUACACAGCAUUUAAAGUCCAACAAAGCCAAUGAAAUCACCACUUCUGCUCCCUGCCGUUGCAGUUUAAUCCCGUGAAUUUCUUUGGGGUCUAAACCACUCCGUGAAAUUCCGAUCAAAUACAAGAGCUCCGCUCCAUGCCGUUGCAGUUUAAUCCCAUGAAUUUCUUCGAGGUCUAAACCACCCCGUGAAGUUCCGAUCAAAUCCAAGAGCUCUGCUCCGUGCCACUGCAGUUUAAUCCCAUGAAUUUCAUCAAGGUGGUCUAAACCACCCCGUGAAGUUCCGAUCAAAUCCAAGAGCUCCGUUUCUUGUCGUAGCUGUCGAGUGAAGAAAAAAAGGCUGCUGAUGAUAAAGAAGAAGAAGAAACAAAGUCCACCAAAACUGGUGCCUUUGUUCCGCAGAGAAAAUGACCAUUGGGUUACUGAAGUUGAAGAAGGCGCAUCCGUCGUUCCCCCGUUCGAACAAAUGCCGUUCAUGGCCAUGAACUCUCUGCCAUGAUGCCUUUUUCAAUUGCCAAAGAGUGAUCACCUCACGUGGGAGUCUCCUCAGAUGGAAAAGAAAGAAGGUUUUGUUGAACUUUCAAAGUCUUAUUGGAACUUGAAGGCCUGGAAAGUUAAAUAAAAAAGAAGAAGGGAAGAGAAAUUUAAAGUUUGCUGUAAGAAACUUGGGAGUCCCAACUUUAUACUUAAAGAAAAGACAAAAGUCUAUUUUGCC